rnacentral:lncRNA from 1 species
GUGAUGACAAAGCACAAUCCCAGAUGUUGAAGUCAUUUCAUCUAGAGUUUGGAUAUUUAGACUAUGUGAACCCGGUGGUGGUCAGUAGUGUUUAACUUAUAUUAGGUUCUAAUGCACUAACCUGUAAAGGCUGUGACAUAAUGCUCUUAGUGAUUAAAUAGUUUGUAUAUAAGGCUAGGCGCGAUGGCUUUUGCCUAUAACCCCAGCACUUUGGGAGGCCAAGGCAGGCCGAGGUGGGCAGAUUGCUUGAGCUCAGGAGUUCAAGACCAGCCUAGCCAACAUGGCAACAACCCAUCUCUACAAAAACCUACAAAAAUUAGCUGGGCAUGAUGGCAGGUGCUGUAGUCUCAGCUACUCAGGAGGCUGAAGCGAGAGGAUGGCUUGAGCCUGGGAGGCUGAGGUUGCAGUGAGCUAAGAUAGCACCACUGCACUGCAGCCUGUGUGAAAGAGUCAGAGCCUGUCUCACUCUUACCACCCAGAGAAAAUAUUGGUCAGCCUUUUAGGACAUUUUAAGUUGAUUUUAAUUUUUUUAAUUCAACUUUGUAUUUCAAGAUAAUUGCUAACAUGCAAGUCUCAAAUAAUAGACUGAUCUUGGGCACCCUUUACCCAGUUUCUCCCAAUGGUAACAUCUUUAGUACCUUUAGUAUAGAAAAACUAUAGUACAUUCAAUGGUAGGCUGUCACAGAAAAAAAAGGAAAAGAAAAGCUAUAGUACAAUAUCACAGCCAUGAUAUUAACAUUGAUAUAGUCAAGAUACAGAACAUUUCAUUCACCACAAGGAUCCCUGAAGUUGUUCUUUGAUAGUCACACUCACUUUCCUUCUUCCCUCACUCCUUCCUUAAUCCUGGAAGGUUAAGGCUGCGGUGAGCCUUGAUUAUGCCACUGCUCUCCAGCCUGGCAACAGAAUGAGACUCUAUUUUUUUUUCUUUUAAAAAGACUUUUUACAAAAGGCAAAAUGAUAAUGGAACUAAAAAUGUACGUUGACUGACUUAACUCCAACUGCUUCUUCCCUCAAUUGAAACCACCUUUGCAAAAAUUAUAACAGUGAGAAAAUUAUGGCAGUAGGGGUGAUCUGAUCAAGCCAAACCCCAUCUUGCCUUUAGCCUUCAAGCUGCCCAUAAUUAUUCCUGGGCUUAGGCCAAGCUAACUUUGGGCCUAAGAUUGGCCUUUUGAGAUGUCUUUUCAGGUUUUUUUGUGUGUCUGACUACCGAUGGCUCCACCUGGACCCACCAACCACUCCUGUGGCCCCAUCCAGAAGCAACUCAGCAUGCAUAAGGACUAUUUCCCACACCCCUAUGAUUGCACCCCCAACCAAUUAGCAGCAAGGACUUAUUGCCUAAAACAGCCCCAUUCAUCCCCCAAACCAUCCAUGAAAAACCCUAGCUUUCAAAUUUCCGGGGAAGCUGAUUUGAGCAAUAAUAAAAUACGUCUCCCAUUUAGCCAACUCUACAUGUAUAAAACUCUUUCUCUAUUGCAAUUCCCCUGCCUUGAUAAAUGAUAAAUCAGCUCUAUCUGGGCAGCAGGCAAGAAGAACCCGUUGAGUCCUUACAAUAUCCUUCUUUCUACCCUCCUCUGCCUAAUUACUCUGAAUCUACUAACUUUUUCACUCAGUUAUUUUUCCACUUUGAAGACAAAAAGUUAGAAAAAAAAAUGCCUUAUGAAAUUAGUCCCUCAGAAUAAACCAGCUGGGCUUUCUUUAGCCACCUGUAUGCUUUAGUCAAAAUCUAAGCUCUAACAAACCUUACCUUUGUUUAAGGUGCUUUUUCUGGCUCUCUGCCAUUAAGAUCUACAUUUUCCACCCUGUCUCCUCUAGGACCUGAGGGUUAUCUCUUUGAUAUGCAAAUGCCAGGGAGAUUACUCACCAGAAGAAGAAGAAGAAAUAGAGCUAAUUGGAAAUUGAGCAAAUAAAAAAAUCUUGUUUUUUCUCCCAGAAACAGUGAAAAGCUUUAGCCAUCCUUUAGAUAAUCUUAACUUGUUCCAUCUGCCAGAAACACAAUUUGGAUUCAGAAAUUCUUUAUGAACUGUUUUUGUAUUAUUGUACCUGGCACAUGGCUACAGUUUUCAAAUGAAAACUGUGUGAAUUGUAAAUAGAAUAGAAAUUAUAAAUGAACUUUUCAAUAGUAAUUAUUUUUUAAUACGGGUACUUAAAAUUGUGUCAACUUCUUAACAAAAGAAAUGGAGGCAAAAUUAGUAUAAACAGUUUAUUUGGGCCAAAUUUGAGAACUGCAAUGUGGGAGACACGUCUUCAAGUUGCUAUGAAUAUAAACUCCAAUUAGCAGCAGUUACAAGCGGUUUUUUUUUUUUAAAGAAGGGGCAGUUCUUUAGUUGCAUAUAAACUAUUGAUUGGCUAUACAUUUUUUUUUAACCAUAAAUUCCAGGAGCAUGAACAUAAUGGGUGAGGGUCACAUCCCCUGGGCAUGGAUUUGGGGCAGGAUGUGACAAAAAUCUCAUACUCAUGUCUCUCUGGGCCUGAUAAAUUUUGCAUACUUUAUAUAGUUCAGACUCUU